GUCUACAGCCAUACCACCCUGAACACACCUGAUCUCAUCUGAUCUUGGAAGAAAAGUGCUGCUGAUUUAUUAAGAGAUGUCUUCAGAUCCCGGACUAUCACAGUCAGUUUUUGCGGAUC
rnacentral:rRNA from 1 species